rnacentral:rRNA from 1 species
UACGUAGGGUGCGAGCGUUAAUCGGAAUUACUGGGCGUAAAGCGUGCGUAGGCGGUUCGUUAAGUUCGUUGUGAAAGCCCUGGGCUCAACCUGGGAAUGGCAAUGGAAACUGGCGGGCUGGAGUAUGGCAGAGGGGGGUGGAAUUCCGCGUGUAGCAGUGAAAUGCGUAGAGAUGCGGAGGAACACCGAUGGCGAAGGCAGCCCCCUGGGCCAAUACUGACGCUCAGGCACGAAAGCGUGGGGAGCAAACAGG